rnacentral:tRNA from 1 species
UCCCAGGUAGCUCAGUGGCAGAGCAGGUGGCUGUUAACCACCUUGUCGCAGGUUCAAUCCCUGCCCUGGGAG